CCUUCGAUAGCUCAGUUGGUAGAGCGGUGGACUGUAGUUGGCAUGAGUUACACGAAGACAUCCAUAGGUCGCUGGUUCAAAUCCGGCUCGAAGGA
rnacentral:tRNA from 1 species